UACGGAGGGUGCAAGCGUUACUCGGAAUCACUGGGCGUAAAGCGCGCGCAGGCGGCUUGAUAAGUUGGAUGUGAAAGCCUACGGCUCAACCGUAGAACUGCAUCCAAAACUGUCAAGCUAGAGUCUGGGAGGGGAAGAUGGAAUUAGUUGUGUAGGGGUAAAAUCCGUAGAGAUAACUAGGAAUACCAAAAGCGAAGGCGAUCUUCUGGAACAGUACUGACGCUGAGGCGCGAAAGCGUGGGGAGCAAACAGGAUUAGAAACCCGAGUAGUCC
rnacentral:rRNA from 1 species